AUGAAGGUUGAUCAUGUUGUGUUGAAGCGAGGUGAGGAAGAAGAUGCAGAGUUGAUAGAGGAUCUUUGUAGAGAAAUAAUGGCCACAGAGGAUCUAAGAGAAAUGAAGGUUUUUUCUAAGGGCCGGUUGAGUCUGGUUGUCAGCUUGGUUUUAAAGCUUGAAAUAAAACAAGAGAUUUGGUUGAAGCACUCCAAGGCACGGCCUGACGAAAGUGAGCAGCAUGAAGAAAGCUUGUGA